UUUAAGAUACCAUAUAAUGGGCCAGAUUUUGAUUCUGGACAGGGUAGUUAAAUAUACCUCUU
rnacentral:tRNA from 1 species